rnacentral:rRNA from 1 species
UACGUAGGGUGCGAGCGUUGUCCGGAAUUAUUGGGCGUAAAGAGCUCGUAGGCGGUUUGUCGCGUCUGCUGUGAAAACGCGAGGCUCAACCUCGCGCCUGCAGUGGGUACGGGCAGACUAGAGUGCGGUAGGGGGAGAUUGGAAUUCCUGGUGUAGCGGUGGAAUGCGCAGAUAUCAGGAGGAACACCGGUGGCGAAGGCGGUUCUCUGGGCAUUACCUGACGCUGAGGAGCGAAAGUGUGGGGAGCGAACAGG